AAUAAUGACCAAUGACGGAUAUGUGUUAAAUAGGAGGAGGACUGGAUUGCAAGGACGAAUUUAAUUAAUAUAUAGUAAGUUAAAGUGAUAGCCUACAGCAGAUGGCCGUAAUGCAACACUAUGGAUGCCAACUGAAGUUAAAAAUAAAUAAAUGAAGAUUUCGCCUCGCGUCGCGGCGAUGACGUCAUCACCCGCGCGCUCACAACAACAGCCAGCGGCGAGUCUCGUGAGGCGAACAGUUCGCGAUUCUUCACGUGUUUACAUUAUUGUAAAGGACACUUAACCGUUAUUUAAGCAACAUUCAAAGAGCUCACAAAAAAAUUACAUCAAAGCAUCAUGAAGAAGAUAAAUCUGCAGAGACAGAGUUUACUGAAGAACAGAGAGAACAUGAGAGAUCUAGAACUGAAGAACAAACAGAUCUGAUCGAGAAGAAACAUGUCAAAACUGGAGAAAAAUCUCUCACAGAGACUGAAAGAGUUUCUUUACUGAAGAGAAGAAACAAGAAAGUUUUACCUGCUCUCAGUGAGGAAAGAGUUUGACAUACAAACACAACCUCAGUGUUCACAUGAGAUCCACACUGGAGAGAAACCUUACAAGUGUUCACACUGCGACAAGAGAUUUAGUCAGUCAGGAGACCUGAAAUCACACGAGAGGACUCUGGAGAGAAACCGUAUCACUGCUCUGCAUGUGGGAAGAGUUUCACUCAGUUGUUUUCUCUACGAAGUCAUCAAAUAAACAAUCACAAUAACUAGUUUAUCUUUACAGGUGUAUUCCAG